rnacentral:rRNA from 1 species
CCAGCAGCUGCGGUAAUUCCAGCUCCAAUAGCGUAUAUUAAAGUUGUUGCAGUUAAAAAGCUCGUAGUUGGAUUUCUGGUAGGAUGACUGUGCCCUCAGCAGAGCGUGCUCAUGCGUCUUGCCAUCCUUCUGUUAACCUUAGAGAGCUUAAUCGCUCUCUUUGGGGCUCAGAUAUUUUACCUUGAGAAAAUUAGAGUGUUUCAGGCAGGCUAGCGCCGGAAUACAUUAGCAUGGAAUAAUAGAAUAGGACUUUUGCCUCUUCUGUUGGUCAUGGGGUUCGAGUAAUGAUUAAUAGGGAUAGUUGGGGGCAUUAGUACUUCACUGUCAGAGGUGAAAUUCUCGGAUUUGUUAAAGACUAACCUAUGCGAAAGCAUUUGCCAAGGAUGUUUUCA